rnacentral:miRNA from 1 species
ACACGAUAAGAGGAAAGUUUACG